GUUUGUUCGAGGGUUGCUCCUUUUUUUUUUUUGAAGGUCACCGGGGGGUUGCUCCAUUUGCCAAUUUACCUGUACUGAUGAAGUCAGUAGUCACCACAAGAAUCCUUUGUUGACGAGCACGUGGCACAUCACUAAAUAAUAGUUAGUCCAGAAUUGAGCAUUCCUACGGAUAAGUCAGAUUGAAUCUAGAUUCUAGAUAGACAUGUUCCACCAUAAGGAAUCUAAUUAUUGACAUAAUGAGGGGAGAUGGGUAGACUUUUUUAUGCAGGAAAUGUUUAUAUUUAUAAGAAAUUUUAAAUGCUACUAAAAACAAUUGUUUGCACUGAAGGAGAUGAUUUAAAAGGUAGAAUAUUUAUCAGGGGCGAAUCUGCAGUACGCGGGCACGAUGAUCUCCUGUGCCAGGUUACGUAAUCCAAAAACUCCGCUGCCUUCAGCACCGGCUGGUCCCUGCAGCAGUGUACUGUUGUAUAUACUCUAAUCCCCAAUGUUAGUGAGUGUUUUUUAUUUAUUGGAUUGAUUUAACUCAGAAAACUGCAGAUAUAUCCAACAAUGUGCACAUCCCUCUCUCCGAGGGUUAUUGCCUGUUUUGGUGCAAGUCCGCUUGACUAGAUGAUGUCGAAAAAGGUUAAAACCAGAGAGCUAUUGGUGUCAAGGAGUGCAGAAUGUUCCCUUCUCUCAAGUUCAACCCCCACCCACCCUCGAGCUCUCAUGAUUUUCAGGGCACCUUGAAAGGCAUGUUUAUUGAUUUUGCAUCAGACAAACGGAUGCAUUUUGCAAUGCCUAAAAGUUUUUGCAGCAGCAGCUGUCAACCGAACGGCAGUGGGCGCCUUCUCGCGGAUAGUGUUGCUCUUGGCACACAUCUUGGCAGCCUGUAGGCUUGCAAUCUUUCGAGGAGAAGCACCUAAACAAUGGUGGCGGCACUGGUGACGGCUGCGAGCAUGGGCCUGUGGAGCCUACACCUAAUAUUAAAACAAACGAGAUUAGCUUCUUCACUUAUUUAAUGUAUUUGUAUGAACUUAUGUCUAAAAGGUAAAUGCGAAGUAAGAAGGAUGCUUACAUGAGUUGCUAGCUAGACUGGAUGGAAAAGUGGUGGACAUAAUGGCAAUAACCAAGGAAACUGCGGCGGCCAAGUACAUAAACUUGGCGCGUCGCUCUUGACGACAGCCAUGAUGAAGACAAUACCUUUUUUUGUUUGAGGAAGAGAGGAUUAUUGUUGCUGUGUGUGUAUUCUGGGAUUCAUUGUCCAGGUGUUUAUAUAGAAGCACAAACCAUCCAAAUAAACACUUAAAAAUUAUAUCAAUUUACUCUAUAUAUCUCUAUAUUUUUGUUGUGGA